rnacentral:rRNA from 1 species
UACGUAGGCAGCAAGCGUUGUUCGGAUUUACUGGGCGUAAAGGGCGCGUAGGCGGCGCAACAAGUCACUUGUGAAAUCUCCGGGCUUAACCCGGAGCGGCCAAGUGAUACUGUCGUGCUAGAGUGCGGAAGGGGCUACUGGAAUUCUCGGUGUAGCGGUGAAAUGCGUAGAUAUCGAGAGGAACACCUGCGGCGAAGGCGGGUAGCUGGGCCGACACUGACGCUGAGGCGCGAAAGCCAGGGGAGCGAACGGG